rnacentral:miRNA from 1 species
CUGUGACCCUAGGCCGACCACGGCUGAGCAGCACUCGGGAGGCCGAGGCAGGAGGAU